GUGGAUACAGAUCCUGACAUCUGAAUCUGGUUUGGUUUAUGAAACAUUUUGAAAGCUUAGUUUCUUAGAAAGUGUCUCAGUUGGAGUGUGCUCGUCAUUUUUUUCUUCCAGCGAUAUCAAUUUUGAUAUUUAUCUAAACUUCGAUGAAUACCUUGUUCUUGGAGUUCACUGUAUAAUCUCCGCCAGGAGAUUACGUUUACCUAUAAACG